CGGACCGUGCCCAGCCCAGCCUGCCGGCAGCAGAGAGAUAGACUGGUAGGUGGCAGCAGAGAAAGGAGUUCUUCAGACUGAUGGCUGUGGACAUUAAGCCUACAUAGGAGAAGAGAUGGCAUGUGACAUACCAAGUGGAGCGAGGAGCAGCAGCAGAGAUGGAAGCUGGCCUGGGAAGGCUGCCACUUCACUGAAGGUUCUCUUGAAGUAACUGGUGGUCUUCUGGAUGAAGACAGACCUGCGAGUGGAAAAAAAAAUGCAGAAUAAGAAAGAAGUAGUUCUUUAUAUCUUGUUGCAUUCAGUGUGGGUUUUCUUUUUCUGAAUUAAAAAUACUGAAUAGAAAUAAAACUCAUGGAGUGUGAUUUGUUCUUUUA